GGGCCAGGCUCUCACCACCCUCACACCAAACAAGUUCUUCCCCACAUCUCAGCUCCAUCUCCCCUCUUUCAGGGUCAAACCCUUCCCCCUCCUCCUAGGGCUCCCCUCCCUCAUCCAGAGUCCCUCCCCAUCUCUCCUGGAGCCCCUUGAGGGACUGGAAGGGGCUCUAAGGUCUCCCCGGAGCCUUCUCUUCUCCAGGCUGAACCCCCCAACUCUCUCAGCCCGUCCUCCCAGCAGAGGGGCUCCAGCCCUCCCAGCAUCUCUGUGGCCUCCUCUGGCCCCGCUCCAACAGCUCCAUGUCCUUCUGCUGUUGGUGGCCCCAGAGCUGGAGGCAGCACUGGGUGUCGGGGGUCUCCCUAGGGACAGAAUCCCCCCCGGGCCGUGCUGGGGAUGCUGCUGGGGACACAGCCCAGGGUGCGGGGGUCUUUCUGGGCUGCCAGCGCACAGGUUGAGCUUCUCAUCCACCGACUCCCCCAGGUUCCCCUCGGGGCUGUUCUCCCCCCACUUCAUUCCACCCCACGGAUGGAUUAUAACAGCUUUUCUCCCUUUUUUCCCCCUCUAUUUAAAGCCUGAGCACGUCGGGGUUGAGCGAGGAAGUGCUGCAGGAGCUGGAUGCCCUGCGGACACUGAAGCCCCAGCUGAAGAUCGGGUACCUCCUGGAGCAGGAGGUGCCGCAGGAAGGGGCCAUGGCCCGGCUGCCCUUCCACCGGGGGGUCCUGCCGGGCACAGGGGGGCCGGGGGGCAGGAAGGGGCUCCCCUCCUUUAGGAGAGCCCCUCGAAACAACCGGAGCCAGUUCUAGCCCCAUUUUCAGUGCUGCUGAAGGCUGGGGGGGGAAGCCUCCCUGGGUCUGAGCCUGCCCCACACUUGGGGGUCUUGCCUCCAUCUGCUGGGGGGCAGGGCUGGUCCUGCUCCUUCCCUCUCCCGUUUUCCCCACGGUGGGAAUAGUUUUGGCCCCGGGGCCAGUCCCCUGGCUCUUCCCCCUCCUCCCCCUGUCCCUCCAUCCCCAGGGAUGUCCCUGUGGGUCCAGCUCCUGCCCCACGUCCCCGCGGGACGGCAGAG
rnacentral:lncRNA from 1 species